rfam:Nicotiana attenuata strain TT chromosome 5, whole genome shotgun sequence.
UGGACAGAUUAUUGUAUUCGACUGUAUUCACGACGUGAAAUAGGGGAUUACACUGUUUUUAAAACGGAAAGUGAAUCAAUUAACAUAAUAGACUCCU